UGCAAGUCGAACGAAGUAGUAAUACUUAGUGGCAGACGGGUGAGUAACAUGUGGGUAUCUACCUUAUGGCCUGGAAUAACACGAGGAAACUUGUGCUAAUACUGGAUAAGUCUUUACGGAGAAAGCUUUAUGCACCAUUAGAUGAGCCCGCACUUGAUUAGUUUGUUGGUAGGGUAAUGGCCUACCAAGACUUUGAUCAAUAGCUGAUUUGAGAGGAUGAUCAGCCACAUUGGGACUGAGACACGGCCCAAACUCCUACGGGAGGCAGCAGUGGGGAAUCUUGCACAAUGGAGGAAACUCUGAUGCAGCGAUGCCGCGUGAGUGAAGAAGGCCUUUGGGUUGUAAAGCUCUUUCGUCGGGGAAGAAAAUGACUGUACCCGAAUAAGAAGGUCCGGCUAACUUCGUGCCAGCAGCCGCGGUAAUACGAAGGGACCUAGCGUAGUUCGGAAUUACUGGGCUUAAAGAGUUCGUAGGUGGUUGAAAAAGUUGGUGGUGAAAUCCCAGAGCUUAACUCUGGAACUGCCAUCAAAACUUUUCAGCUAGAGUUUGAUAGAGGAAAGCAGAAUUUCUAGUGUAGAGGUGAAAUUCGUAGAUAUUAGAAAGAAUACCAAUUGCGAAGGCAGCUUUCUGGAUCAUUACUGACACUGAGGAACGAAAGCAUGGGUAGCGAAGAGGAUUAGAUACCCUCGUAGUCCAUGCCGUAAACGAUGUGUGUUAGACGUUGGAAAUUUAUUUUCAGUGUCGCAGCGAAAGCAAUAAACACACCGCCUGGGGAGUACGACCGCAAGGUUAAAACUCAAAUGAAUUGACGGGGACCCGCACAAGUAGUGGAGCAUGUGGUUUAAUUCGAAGAUACGCGCAGAACCUUACCAACACUUGACAUGUUCGUCGCGACUUUAAGAGAUUAAAGUUUUCGGUUCGGCCGGACGAAACACAGGUGCUGCAUGGCUGUCGUCAGCUCGUG
rnacentral:rRNA from 1 species